AAGGAUCAUUAACAAAUACAACUUAUGUUGAAACCCAUUCUGUGUAUCUUUACUUGUUGCUUCCCCGUUUACUCGGGGAAGGUCAUCAUAAACUCUGCUUUCUUUGAAGUCAGUCUGAAUUUGUUUAUCUAUAAACUUUAAAACUUUCAACAACGGAUCUCUUGGUUCUCGCAUCGAUGAAGAACGCAGCGAAAUGCGAUAAGUAGUGUGAAUUGCAGAAUUCAGUGAAUCAUCGAAUCUUUGAACGCACAUUGCGCCCUCUGGUAUUCCGGGGGGCAUGCCUGUUCGAGCGUCAUUAAAACUACUCAAGCUAAGGUUUACCUUCUGCUUGGUCUUGGAAUUGGAGGCUUAAGUCUCCUUUCCGAAAUACAGCGGGCGAAUUUUUUGUGCCGUAAAUGUAAUAAAUCAUUGCCAUUGAAAGCAUGGAUAUAUUCUGCCAUAACCCCCUCUAUUUUCUAGUUUGACCUCGGAUCAGGUAGGGAUACCCGCUGAACUUACAACAGGGAUUGCCUUAGUAACUGCGAGUGAAGCGGCAAAAGCUCAAAUUUGAAAUCUGGGGCCUCACAGCCUCCGAAUUGUAAUUUCGCGAUGCGUCUUUGACGGAUGGCCCUACUUUAAGUUCCUUGGAACAGGACGUC
rnacentral:rRNA from 1 species